UACGUAGGGAGCGAGCGUUGUCCGGAAUUACUGGGCGUAAAGGGCGCGUAGGUGGGCGUUUAAGUCAGAUGUGAAAACUUUGGGCUCAACCCAAAGAUUGCAUUUGAAACUAGGCGUCUUGAGGGCAGGAGAGGAAAGUGGAAUUCCUAGUGUAGCGGUGAAAUGCGUAGAUAUUAGGAGGAACACCAGUGGCGAAGGCGACUUUCUGGACUGUACCUGACACUGAGGCGCGAAAGCGUGGGUAGCGAACGGGAUUAGAUACCCCGGUAGUCCCUGAGCGGG
rnacentral:rRNA from 1 species